rnacentral:tRNA from 1 species
GGAGGAAUGGCUGAGUGGCUUAAGGCGCGCGAUUCGAAAUCGUGUGGGCGGAAACGCCUCGGGGGUUCAAAUCCCUCUUCCUCCGCCA